rnacentral:lncRNA from 1 species
AGAUGCAACAUAAAAAUUUCAGAGACAGAAGAAAUCUUCCUUUGAGGGCAGUGAUACACUUAUGUGAGAUUUUGAAAAGUGAAAAAUCAAAGGUGGAAUUGACCAAUAGAUGUAAAAGUACAACAAAUAAACAAAAAUGGCAAUGUUGAAAGUGAAACUGAAAUUCAACAGAAAUAAAAGAAAUAGCAGACUGGGGGGAUAUUGACUUUGACACCAUGAUGCCAGAGGAACUUAGUAAUGGCAAACUUAUCAAUAUAAAAUGAGGAUAUUGGUUGUCAACUAGGUUGUGUGGUGGUCCUUGAUCUUGUCCAUCAAGUCCUUUUUCCCAAAGGAUAACUGAAGAAGAUCACAUACAUUCCAACUUAUUGAGUCUGAUAGGUAUUCAUCUGAUGAGCUCCUCUUCAACUGAGGAUUGAAAUGCUGUUUUUCUUCCCUGGUACAAUGUUAAAGCUUUAAACUCUCGUCAAUGAUGUGAUGUUUCAUCUGCAAUGAUCUACACUAGAAAAAUAAAGAUGUAGUUACUGACAAAAAAGCAGACCCCAGACUCAGCUGUCAGAGAGGAGAAGCAGCUGGAUGCUGGGGACUAAGGCUGGACAUUGUCGAGAAACAGCUUGACUUCCGAGGGACAGCUUGAUGGUGUAACUUCAGAGAAUAAUCUAAAGGGGAAGAUUCUUCAGGGGAAGAUUACCUGCCUACCCCAUACCUUUUUCAGCUCCCCUACCUGCAGAGACCUACUUUUUUCAGCAAUAAAAUCCCACAUAUUUACUAUCCUUCAAUUUGUUCAUUUGACCUCAUUUUUUCUGGACAUCAGACAAGAGCUCAGGAGCCACAAGUGUGGAUACAAAAGGCUCUCACACUGGCCCUUUGCACUCAUGGG